AGAGAUCUUGAUGCAGACGCCCUUUUGGAUUUCUUUUUAAUAGUGUGUGACCCUUCACCUUUGAUUCCUUGACCUGCAUUACUUUGGUUUGGCUUGUCUGCUUUUCAGCUCUUCUAGACAUUGGAAAUUCCAGUUUGUGUUUAUUUUCUCUGGAUUCCUUCCCACAAGACAGAAGUGAAUUCAGCAUGGAUUAUUGGGGAGAGCCUUGGCUGGGAAUAAGGAUAAUUGCAGCCUCUGGCUGUGCCACAGUUUCACUGAUGAUUUCUUUUAAGUUACUCACCUGCACUGUAUCUGUUUCCUGAGCUGUAAAAUGUGGGUAAUUACCUCCAUUGUAAAAUGUUACAGGGUCUGCUGGUAAUUAUAUGAACGAAGUGCUAAUUACAGUGAUUAUCCCUUGGACCUAGUCUAGAUCUGGCUGAUAUUCCUGUUGUGAUGAACGAAUGAAACAAAUACUACAACUUGCUUUUCUCCAUUCUUUGCAAGGGGCCUGGGAAAUGCCAUGUCACACGAUGUUGUUCCCAGUGAGAAGCUCUGCUGCCCUGUCACCCAGGUCCCUCUCUUAAUUUCUUGUUCCCCUCCACCCUUGUGUGUUACAGGGCCGUGGGCUGAGGAAUUACUGAUUCAGUAGUUGGAUCCAUGUAUGAUCUGGUAGACAGGGUUUAUGCUGUGGCUUCACUUUUCCUCUUGGGGAUAUGCAGAACGCAGCAGCCAGGGAACUGCUCCCGAGGUACCACUUGGGUUGGAGCCAGUCUGUGCUGCCUAGUGGCCUCCAUUCCUUAAGAAGUUCUGACCUUGAUGCCAGGAGAGGUGUCCUUCCAGCUGUGGAAAUUAUUUCCCUCCUGUAAAAGCCUACAGCUUCAAGACUUUAUUAUCAAACAUUUUAUUUGCCUUUCUCUUCUCCGUUUAUUUAGGACACAUUUUCUUUGUAGCUGGGAAUAGCUCUACUAUCCCCUGAGCAGGGCUGGGUAGUGGAGGAAGAAUUUAUAUUCUUCAAGGUAGAAAUGGAGUGUUCUCAUCCAGAAAAUCCUGCUGCUGCCGCUGGGAAGGUGCUGUAGUUUUUGUUGGUAGUAAUAAGUCACAUUGUAUAUCUGGUAAUGAUGAGAUUCUCCUCUCCUACCCAAUCCAUGCCUUCCCUGGUCACAGACCUCAUGGCACAGUAACAACAAAAAUAAUGUGCUUGGUUCAUCUUGCUGCAACUUUGCCUGCUCUGUUCUGCCACAUCUUAUUCCCUGUCUUCCUUGGUUCUGUUGGAUGGAUUUUCUGCUUUUGCCUUCAGCCUCCAUACCUCCUUCUCAUCAGCCUCAGCCUUUCUUUGCCCUGGAAGAGCAAGACUCAGUUAUGUCUUCAGAAUUAAGUAGCUGAGCAGCUCUUCCUUUCUCAGAGUUUGACAAGUGCAAUGAAUUUUUAACUUUCAAGAGAAGGUUUUAGUUCCUGUCCGGGAUGAUGGUUUGGAAAGGAUUUCUGUCAAUGGGAAGGCGGCUUUUAAUUGCAGUUUUGCACCUGAGUUUUCCAGAUUAGAUGCUCUUCUCUGACAGCUUCUGUCUGAUUGAUUCUAUGGCCUGUUCUUUUCCAUGACAGGAUACUUGAGUGCUCCAGGGAUGGGAGCAAUGUGCCACUCCUGAUAGGUGAAAGCGGUCAUUGCCAGGCAAUGAGGGUAUGGAAAGAACUUCUCUUGUUAGGUGGAGGAAAAAGUAGAUGAGGGAUUAUCAUCUCUCCCACGAUUUGCUCUUGCCUUGCUUUAGAGCAUCUGAACUAGAGAGGUGUGUCAGUAGUGUGUCUGUGCUUCACCUAAUGCUCAUCUGCCAGACUUGUUUGAAAAUCCUUCAUUUGGGAAGCAAAAAAUUUGGUUUGUUUCUGCAGAAGUGCCAUCUAUUAAGAUGAAUUAAUUUGGUGUGAAAGGCUUCAAAAAUGAAUGAUGCCAUAUCCGUGUUCUUACUGCCCGUUGCACAAGUGAACUGAUUUGUGUGCUCUCUGCAAGUCACAUGCUGAAGGAUGUUGAAUUACUGUGUAACCUGGAGAGUAAUCAGUGAUUCAGAUUUCAGAUUUAUCCAAGUCUAAUUUUGCAGAAUUCUUGCAAUAUCUGGGAUUUGUGUAUCUUGGCACCACUCUGAAUGCUGUACAUUAAGAGUGUAAACACAAAUUUUUUAAAAAACUUAAUUGUUUAGUAACAUAAUAAUUAUAAACUUUCUCAAGUCUUCUUUCUCUUAAAAAUAAGCACUCUGGUUUUCAUUGAGGUGUAAAAUCACUGCAACUUGUGACAAAAAUGCUUUAAAGUAGCUGAAUGAAAAUGCAGCAUCACCAUGAAAACAAAAGUGUUAAUGCAAAAGUGGUUCCAAACGAGGUGCUGCUAAAUGAAGGUUUUCCUGGUUUUGAGAGCAGGUUUUUAAGCAGUGAUACACUCCGUGGGGGGGCAAUUGCACACCCCAGGGAAGGAGUCGAGGAGCACUUUCUAUAUGUCAGAGGUUGCUGCAAAGAAAUUUAUUAAUUUUUACUACUUUUUGUAAUUACCUGUCACUGUUCGGCUUUGUGAGUCCGUAGGCUAUAGAUAAACAACGCUGGCUGGUUGCACGCCGAGCUGAGCAGCGCAGCAGCGCCGGGAGCGCCGCUGGCCGCAGCCCCCACGGCUGCCGGGCCUGUCCGGGCCGUGCCAGCGGCCCGGGUGCUUUUGGCCUCCUCACCCGGCCUCGCUCGCUACCGGGACGUGGCGCCUGCCGGCGGCACGGCCUGGCGCCUCGGAGCCGCGGGCCGAGCUGCCUUGUCCCCGCGCCUCGCCGGAGGAGGAGGAAGAGGAGAGUUUCCAUCGCGGCCCGUUUCCAGCUGCCCCCGUGUCUGUACGGACGUGGAAUCCCCACAGGAGGGUGCUGCGAAGGCACUGAAUGUGCAGGUUUGCAGGGAAGAUCAGGGCUUGGAGGAGACGGCGAUUGUAGGGCAGCCAAGGCCGUGGCUCUGGCAGGGGCAGCGCCUCGGCCGUCCCCGGGAGGGGCGCGGGGGGAGGCCGCUGUUGAAGCUCGCAGCACCGCGCUGCCGUGCCCGUGGGCUCCGGCGUGGGAGCGUGAGCAAAGGCAGCGGCAGCACUGACACUCGGCUGCUGCAGAGUCGAGGGCUUGGUAGCUGCAAAGCGUCCCAGGGCUGUUCCCCUGCCUCCUGCUCGUGGCUGGUGAUGGGACCGUUCCCCUGUGAGCAUUACCUGUGGGCAACGGGUCGUAUGGCUUCUCUCCUUGGAGCCUUGGAGCCACCCAGCUACUUUCCUGUCUGCAUGUAGUAUGUUUGGUCUGCACAAGUGGCAAAAUGCAUUUGCUUGCAAGUAGAGACAGUAUCCAAGUUCUGUCCUAAAAUACUUUGUAAGUUGGACCAUUUUAUUCAGCGUGAUCAGAUGAGAAAUAAUGGCAAAACCUCCCUUUGGUUCCUGGCUGUGCAACCCUCUUUCAAAUAUUUUAGUUAAAGGGAUUAUUCCUUUUGCAUAAUACAUGCUCAUGCCAAAAAACUUGUCUGACAAGGCCAGUUAAGCAGCACGUUCACGUGAUUCUCCCUUUAGCUGUGUGCUGCUUCACCCUGAAAUUGUGUGAUCAUUUAAAAGUAAACAACCCUCCACCCCAGGGGCUGCACACAUCCGCUCUGCCCCUCACUUCCUUCUGCUGCUUUUCACUUUUUAAAUAAAUUUUUGAAACUGACGAUUAUAUAACUGAAGAAGAGACUUUGGGAUGGCCUCUAGGACAUGAGGGGGGAUUCAGUCUAAUUCUGUUACAUGGGAGUGUGGGAGCUCUGAUCCCUUCCUUUUAAUGGCAGCAGGAUCAACUGAUGGAGCUGUUGUAAAGAGGGGGUAUAAAAUCAGCUACUCAUUGCAUCAGAGCACCUCACUUGGAAACCUGGGACUGAGAUCUGUGUGCAAAUCCCUGUGGGGUUCCCUGCUGGCCAUGGAGGCAUCACAGAUGUUCUGGUUCAGUACCUGGGUUUGGAUCUCAGGUCUUUGGAUGGAGGAUCGUGUCCAGCAGUGCUGGUGCUUUGUGUUACUCUGUGGGUUUGGCACUCAUCUGAAAUGGCAUCUCCAAAAAACCCUUUUGGUGGGAUGGGUGAUCCCAAAGUUUGGCUAAUACACGCUGUGGAAGAGGUGCCUGGCAGCAGUGGGGGCUUUGCCUCAGCGUGGCAGGACAGAGCUGGUCUCGUAUCCGAAUGCUGUUAGAUCAGCUGCAGGCAAAUACAAAUAGACUUGGAUUUUGGCCCUGUAAAGGGAGACUUUCAGCUUCCCCUGGGAAUUCUGCCUUGGCAGAAACCAGCUGUAGUUCAGUGGUUUCUGUUACCAGGCAGAGUCUGUUUGGAUGUUAGAAAAUUAGAGCAGAAAUUCCUGCAGCAGUCAGCUGUGUCUGCGUCACCUCUGUGACCUCUAACUGCUACUCCUGCAAACAGUUGCCAUUAAGCACAGUCAAUAACCCCCUUCUGCAUUCCACUGGAUUGUCUCUUCCUGCCAUCUCAAAUGAAAAAUAAACAAAAGAGCUUAAGCGUGCAACGUGCUAAAUAGACUAAUCAGCUGUGAAAAUAUUUUAUGGGGGAAUCUGGGGCAAGAGCUGUCAGUGAGAGCGAGCUGAUUGGAGCUGCAGCAAAACAGCUCUGGGAGGCGGCCAUGGGGACAGAAGGGAAAGAUUUGUUCAAAUGUAUGCGUGCUGGUUUUUUUACCCCUUUCUGAGUAGUUUUAGGAAAUCCCUCCCUCUGUAAAUUGAUUACCUCUGCACAUCAGAAUGCCUUGGCUCUAAGUACGCACUAAGCUGCUCCUGUGCUGAUUUGACUUUGCCUGUUAAAUGUAAAACAGGUUUUAAUCUUCUCAUUUAGAUGUUUUAAUAGAAAGUAAAUGUUUAACUUGCUUUGCCGUGCCCUCCAAAUCUUUAAUCCGUGGGAAUGUUUUUAAUGAAAGGAAAACCAUGCUUUUGUUUAAAGCAUGGGGUGAUGCUGCAGGCAGUAGUGCUGGUGGGAGGAAUUGCAAACCCACACCAGGAAUUUUUGGCACUGGUGGAUCCUGGAUUUGGGGAUUAUGGGUUUAGGAAUAUGCUGGGGAGAGUGACAAGGACCUCGUCUUGGGACAGUCUGUGGUUGGGAAGGGGUCUGUAACCAUGCUAUCAGUUCAGUGUCAGUGAUUCCUGCCCCUGAAUUCAGAAUUGUCCCUGUGUUCUGAUGAUGUUAGAGGGCUGUUUCUGCUCCAGCAGGGGAGAGCUGAGCAGAGCCGUGUGCUUGCCAAGGAAACCGCAAAGCAGGCAGCACCGGGUUUUGUUCUGCAUACAAAAGGGGGGUUCUGCUCUUCUGAAGCCACUCAGCUUAUUUAUGAUUUAAUUUAAUGUAAUUCAUUAAAAAAGAUGUGUGGCUCCAAGACACACAUACAGCUGGCAAAGUACUAUGACAAAGUCAAAACUGAACAAGGAGUGGAGCACUCAGUAAGUGUGGAUAGAAACCACCUAGGGGGAAUUGCAGGCACCUGUGCCCACUUUGGGGCAGGACCCACAGCUGUUUGCCCCUUCAGUUGCAUUUUCUGCCUCAAAUUAGAAUCAGGACUUUAUUAGGUUAAAAGUGCAGCAAGUCCUGGAAGAUGGAGAGUGCUGCCAAAAGAUUUACCUCUGUGUUUCCCACCAGCCUGUGCUGCCAGAAGGGAGAUGCUGUUCAGGGCAGCUGAAGGCAGACAGGCAUCUACAAGGAAGUGCUUCAUAAACACAACUUCCCUCACUGGAAAGCCAACUGCACCGAUAAAGCUUUGGCUGGGUAAAUAAAGUGUUCUGAUUUCCAGGCCUGUAUUGUGAGUUGUAGAGCUGUAAUUGUGUAAGUGCCAGGGUUAUAAAUAGCGGGUGCAGUUGGCAAGCCCCAGCCAUGGCACACCGCAGCACCGGUGCUCCAUAGUGAGAAUCAGGAGGAUUGUUCUCAUUUGGGUUUUGGCUUCUCCUUUUGCACUCCACGCUUUUCCACCUGGGUUUGCAGGGACUGGUUCCUGUAGCCAGGCCUGGCUAUCCUUUGUGGGACAGGGGCCAGCUUGGACACACGAGCAUCCUGCGGCACCUGGAUUUGUACCUGAUCUGUGCAUCAACUGGGCCGUGUGCGGAAGGCAAGGAGAAGAAAACUAUUGGUAAAAUAAUGAAUCGACUUCAAACUGAAACAGUUCAUUAUUGCAGCGUCAGUACACUGAAGAGGCUGGUGCUGCAUCACAGGUGUGUGGAUGUCUGUGGAAAAUAGUGUCAUAAGGGGUGUCCCAGCAAUACCUGCAGUGAAGGAUUCACUGUUCUGCACAGGAUGACUGUGGAGAAGUUUACAUAGAUCCAUGGGGAAACUGCACCAGAGGGAUGAGUUAGGUUUUACAACAUAGUAACUUAAAUGUUUAAUUUUCUGAGUUGUCGUUGUUCUAAUUAAAUUAAUACACUUU